rnacentral:rRNA from 1 species
UGCAGUCGAGCGAGCAGAACCAGCAGAUUUACUUCGGUAAUGANGCUGGGGACGCGAGCGGCGGAUGGGUGAGUAACACGUGGGGAACCUGCCCCAUAGUCUGGGAUACCACUUGGAAACAGGUGCUAAUACCGGGUAAGAAAGCAGAUCGCAUGAUCAGCUUAUAAAAGACGGCGUAAGCUGUCGCUAUGGGAUGGCCCCGCGGUGCAUUAGCUAGUUGGCAAGGUAACGGCUUACCAAGGCAAUGAUGCAUAGCCGAGUUGAGAGACUGAUCGGCCACAUUGGGACUGAGACACGGCCCAAACUCCUACGGGAGGCAGCAGUAGGGAAUCUUCCACAAUGGACGCAAGUCUGAUGGAGCAACGCCGCGUGAGUGAAGAAGGUUUUCGGAUCGUAAAGCUCUGUUGUUGGUGAAGAAGGAUAGAGGUAGUAACUGGCCUUUAUUUGACGGUAAUCAACCAGAAAGUCACGGCUAACUACGUGCCAGCAGCCGCGGUAAUACGUAGGUGGCAAGCGUUGUCCGGAUUUAUUGGGCGUAAAGCGAGCGCAGGCGGAAGAAUAAGUCUGAUGUGAAAGCCCUCGGCUUAACCGAGGAACUGCAUCGGAAACUGUUUUUCUUGAGUGCAGAAGAGGAGAGUGGAACUCCAUGUGUAGCGGUGGAAUGCGUAGAUAUAUGGAAGAACACCAGUGGCGAAGGCGACUCUCUGGUCUGCAACUGACGCUGAGGCUCGAAAGCAUGGGUAGCGAACAGGAUUAGAUACCCUGGUAGUCCAUGCCGUAAACGAUGAGUGCUAAGUGUUGGGAGGUUUCCGCCUCUCAGUGCUGCAGCUAACGCAUUAAGCACUCCGCCUGGGGAGUACGACCGCAAGGUUGAAACUCAAAGGAAUUGACGGGGGCCCGCACAAGCGGUGG